UGAGUUGUAGCUCAGUGGUAGAGAGCUUGCCUAGCAUGCGUGAGGCACUGGGUUCAAUCCUCAGCACCACAU
rfam:Ictidomys tridecemlineatus contig021373, whole genome shotgun sequence.